rnacentral:rRNA from 1 species
UACGUAGGGUCCGAGCGUUGUCCGGAAUUACUGGGCGUAAAGAGCUCGUAGGUGGUUUGUCGCGUUGUUCGUGAAAACUCACAGCUCAACUGUGGGCGUGCGGGCGAUACGGGCAGACUAGAGUACUGCAGGGGAGACUGGAAUUCCUGGUGUAGCGGUGGAAUGCGCAGAUAUCAGGAGGAACACCGGUGGCGAAGGCGGCUCUCUGGACCGAUACUGACGCUGAGGCGCGAAAGCGUGGGGAGCAAACAGG